UCUCUCUAUCUUCUCCAUCACGCUCACCACCGCAAUUCUCUCUCUGUCCGCCUUCCCACCGGCUCCGGCGAGGCCGUGUUCGGCCGAGGGGCCGCUCGUCGACUACUUCCUCCCAUCAUCCAUUCUUCUCUCUCAAAAAUCACGGAUGAAGACAAAAGGGGAGCCCUAAUUUUCUUCCCAAAUCAGGAAUCGCUGCCGCCUGAGCUGAAAUCCGGCAACGCAGCGCCCUUCUCUUCGGCGUUGUCGAUGCCUCCACGCCGGAGGCUUUCUCCUCCCCUUUCCCUUCCGAUUUUGAGCCCUACUGUAGGUAAUGGGUGAGCCGAGGUAGGCGGCUCCGGCAGCGGCGGAAGAAUGGGCGGAGGGUGAAGAAUGGGAUAUUGAGGUUUGUUCUUAUUGAAUUAUACUAGUUAGGGUGCUUCAUUGUGUUUGCGUGUUUCAGUUGGGGGAAAUCGUGGUAUUUUGGGCGAUCGAAGGUGAACUUGAUGUAGUAGGGUGUGAAUAAAUUUUUGAAUUGAUGAUUUUGUGGGUCUGUUGAUUGCUUUCUCUCGUUCUCGCUGGCACCAUUCACGCCCAACCCUAAUUUCCUCCACCAAUUUCAAAUUUACUGACUCUCUCUUCUCCAUCUCUCGUCUCAAUUUCUCACCAAAUGCACAGACAGAAUCCUCUCCCCUCUCCAACAUUUCUCGACGCGCCGUGAGGCAUCGCUCUGCCUCAGCUGUGCGUCUUUCUUUUCUUCACCUCAUUUCCUUGUCUGGCAACAACACACACAUACAUACACGAAAGCCCUAGAUUCGUCCUCUCACAAUUCUGGCGGAAUCGCUGCCGAAACGUCGCUGUUACCUGAAGCUCGUCUUGAGUCGUCGUCCACCACCGUCGACGACUUUGCUGCUUCGACAGAGCAAGAUAGCAGCAGAAGUUAUUGCGCCUUCUCUCCUAAAGAAUCGACACCGCCUCUGUGCCAUCGCCUGCAGCUUAUCUCUCUCUGCCAAGGCGGCGACAGUAGCUAUCGCUCCUCCCUCACCCUGCUCCUCUAGACUUUAUUUCAUCGAGUCCUAAUAGACUCGAUCUCAAGCGCAACGGGGGGAUACGCUACGUUAAGGUAGUAAGAUAGAUUUUCAAUGUUUCAUAUUCUCAAUUUUAUCAUGAAUUUCAGUUCGAAUAUUACCUAUGUAGAUAUGGUGUUAUGCAAUUCAACUACUCAACAAUUUGAAGUCUCAACUAAGUAGUUAUUAUAUUUUUUUCUCUAUUACCAUAGAGCUAUGGUGUCAUUGUGCUCAAUUAAGUUUUUGGUCCUUUUGUUCUUGAAGCCAUUUGUAAAAUUUCCUUUUGGGAAUAUGCGGACAUAAUAUUAUUCUACUUAUUGCAGAUAGUUCGUGUAUGGAGAGGUUCUGAAGAGGUAUUUUUGGCAAAUUAAUUUUGUGAUUAUUGUUCUCAGUGAAAAUCUGGACCUAGACUCGAUUUCAGUUUAAUUAAUUUUGUGCAGUAUCUUAGUUGAAGAGGUAUUUUUGGCAAAUUUUAAUGAAAGUGAUAGCAUUGGUGGAACUAGUGUUUGCUUCGGAGAUGGUGGCAGGGGACAAGGAACGAUCAAAUCGUUCCAAGUAUUGCUGCUCCUAAAGUUGGUAUAACACGUACUUUUCCCCCAUCCAUAUUCUUUGUUAAUUUUGUGUUUUCAUGUUGGUAGGGGUUUGAGUGAUUGAGUAACAUUGAAGCUUCGUAUAUGUGUGAUGAUUGCAUUUUUGCUAGGUUGUGAUAUGAAGAUUCAUGUAUGUGUGAUGAUUGCUGCUGCUUUAUCUGCUGAUUUUUUUUAACGAAUAUAUUUAAAAUAGAUGCCGUGUUAUGCUAAAAUGAGUCCUGCUGUUUCUAUGAUCUUAUGCAUGUUUCAGUGGCCUUCAAGUUGUCCAAGAGAAAAGCUAAUGAGAACCUGCACGUUCUUCAUAUGGGGAGAAUACUUUCCAUGAAUUUCCAUGAAUCAUUUUCAGGUUUUAUGAUUUGAUAGCAGAUGGUAUGGUUAGAACCAAUUGCAUAGUAUUUUCAGGUAUGGUGGCAGCAACACCUCAUAUGGGGAGAAAAGGCUCGUAAUUUUUUGACUCAGGUGACUUGGAUAUAGGGAAUGUUUAUAACUACAUUUUCUUGAAUUUGGAGGAGACAUUUGUUUGUAUUUAGUUAUUGAGCCAUCUUAACUGUUAAAGAGAAACUUAUAGGGUAUCCAUCUGUUUGCAGGGAAAAAGUUG
rnacentral:lncRNA from 1 species